GACGUAGGGCGCAAGCGUUGUCCGGAUUUAUUGGGCGUAAAGGGCUCGUAGGCGGCUUGUCGCGUCUGUCGUGAAAGCUCAGGGCUUAACUCUGAGUUUGCGGUGGAUACGGGCAGGCUUGAGGCAAGUAGGGGAGAACGGAAUUCCAUGUGUAGCGGUGAAAUGCGCAGAUAUCAGGAGGAACACCGGUGGCGAAGGCGGGUCUCUGGGCAGUAACUGACGCUGAGGAGCGAAAGCAUGGGUAGCGAACAGGAUUAGAUA
rnacentral:rRNA from 1 species